UACUUGAACCCAGGAGGCAGAGGUUGCAGUGGGCUGAGAUCAUGCCACUGCACUCCAGCCGGGGCAACAGAGGGAGACUCUGUCUUAAAAAAAAAAAAAAAAAGCUGGGUGCGGUGGCUCAUCCCUAUAAUCCCAGCACUUUGGGAGGCCGAGGUGGGUGGAUCACAAGGUCAGGAGUUCAAGACCAGCCUGGCCAAUAUGGGUGACAGUGAGACUCCGUCUCAAAAAAAAAAAAACAGUGUCAUAUCUUUGUUUUAAUUUGUAUUUCC
rnacentral:lncRNA from 1 species